AAUAAGUACAGCUAUGGAUAUCCGUGCCCAACAUUUGACCGUCCGUUUUAUUUAAAAAAAAUUUAUGAUUACUAUUUUUAUUGCUAUUAAAUGAUAAAACAUGAAUAUUACUUUAUGUGUGACUAAAUAUUUUCAAUUUUUUCACAAAAUUUUUAAAUAAGACGAAUGAUCAAACGUUGAACGUGAAUAGUGCAAAAUUGCACUUGUU
rfam:Oryza rufipogon genomic scaffold, chr08